CACAGUCACUGCGCACAAAAGGUCCACACCAUGGGAUGGAGCUGUAUCAUUCUCUUCCUUGUGUCAGUAACUACAGGUGUCCUCUCCCAGGUACAACUACAUCAGUAUGGGCCUGAACUGGAGAAACCAGGAUCCUCAGUGAAGUUGUCUUGCAAGGCUUCAGGUUAUACUUUCACUAACAACUAUAUUAGCUGGGUGAAGCAGAGGCCUGGUCAGGAACUGGAGUGGAUUGGAUGGAUUUAUCCUGGAAGUGGUAAUACUAACUACAAUCAGAAGUUCCAGGGCAAGGCCAAACUGACUGCAGACAAAUCCUCCAGCACUGCCUACAUGGAGCUCAGCAGUCUGACAUCUGAAGACACUGCAGUCUAUUUCUGUGCAAGACACAGUGUUACAACCACAUCCUGA